CCUACGGGAGGCUGCAGUGGGGAAUAUUGCACAAUGGGGGAAACCCUGAUGCAGCGACGCCGCGUGAGCGAUGACGUAUUUCGGUAUGUAAAGCUCUAUCAGCAGGGAAGAAAAUGACGGUACGUGACUAAGAAGCCCCGGCUAACUACGUGCCAGCAGCCGCGGUAAUCCGUAGGGGGCCAGCGUUAUCCGGGUUUACUGGGUGUAAAGCGAGCGUGGACGGCGGUGCAAGCCAGAUGUGAAAGCCCGGGGCUCAACCCCGGGACUGCAGUUGAAACUGUGCUGCUAGAGUGUCGGAGAGGCAGGCGGAAUGCCUAGUGUAGCGGUGAAAUGCGUAGAUAGUAGGAGGAACACCAGUGGCGAAGGCGGCCUGCUGGACGAUGACUGACGUUGAGGCUCGAAAGCGUGGGGAGCAAACAGGAUUAGAUACCCUUGUAGUC
rnacentral:rRNA from 1 species